AAAAGAAGCAGUAGGGACGAGGCAGCAUUGCGCCCGCGGAGGGGGGCCGGGUGGGGGGCUGUCGGACGCCUGGGUCCCUUGGAGGGAGGUAUCGCGGUUCCCCCACCAUCACCACCGCCAUAUUUGUUUUCAAGAGGGGCAGGAAUUCAUUUCCUGGGUGGGAGGGACAGUAGUUUCCCGGACUAGGUUGUGGGGGAGGACAACGCCGGGAUCGCGGGGCAAGAAGGAGGGGAGUGGGUGGAUCAGGCCCCCGGCCGCCCCUGUGCACCCUCAUCCUGCCUGGAGCAAGCUCCGCUUGGCGCCGCCGAACUUGCUUCUGCGUAAACGCGCCUUUGGCACCGAAAGCCUCUGGCAACCGCCUUUCAGGAAAUAGGCAGGAGGUGUAAAGGCGGUUGAAAUGGGUUUCACCGGUUGCAGAACGAAACGGGAUUUCAGCUCCUGCCAAAAUACCCACGCCUUUGACGUGCCAAAAGUGCAAAAGCCUUGAUCAGUCCUGCGACGGAAACCCGGAUGUACCCCGUAAAAAUAAAAUAGGAACGGGUCCUGUGCUGUAUGUUCGGAUUAGAAGUGCGAUGUGGAUCCGGAAGGUUGAGCACCGUUGCUGGGAGGUUGGGGAGGGGGCCGGAGUCCGUGGUCACCUGCAAGGGUGUUGCUGAAGGAACUCUAAGCGCAGACCCCCAACAUGCAUUUGAAUAAAAUGCAUGUGUGCUAAGUUGCAUUUCUAGAGCUGCUGGGAAAUCAAGGUGAUGGGUUGCUAGGGUUUCCCCCGCAAAGUAUUAUGGGCACUUUCUAGCUUUGUGAGGGAGAGAAAUGGGGAUAAAUUGCCCUUUAAUGCUUUUUGACCACUAACUGCAAAUAGGACAGAACGGUGACUGAGUGGGGUGAAGGGAAAGAGGCAGGAAGGCCUUUAAUGAAACCCACAUGCCCUGGGCCCCCUCCUGAUAACAUAUCUUCCCCUGCUUCCCUGAUGCAAAAUCCCCCUCUAAAAAUAGUAGGCGAAAGAGGUUGGCACAAAAGUGGCCCCCCCUCUGCCCUCCACCCUGCAAUUUGAACAUUGCUCUUGAGUUUUCUCCCAUCCACAGUCAUGGAUAAGCAGGGAUUCUAAUCCGUGUCAUAACUCCGCAGU